AGAAUCUAAGCUCCUUCCAUUUGUUCCACAAGAAAGUAAGUACUGUUCUUGAGUAUAUUACCUAUGAUAUCAAUUUUUACAAUUAGGAGGGUAUUCAGCCCAUUACAGCUUAUGUGAAAAAUUUAAGCCAAAAAAUUACCAAACAAUAUAAAACAAGCAAAGCAUAAAAAGUGACCAAAUAUUACAAUUUAAUCCAAGGUAGAAGAAAAAGAUCCAGACACUUCAAAUAUCAUUGAGGUACAUUUAUUUAGAGCAAAGUAUUCCAGCACUGUUUCAACCCUGCACUGCAUCUUUGGGUUUUUGACAAAUACACACUAUAGGGUCGAAACGUUGAUGGGAUACUUUGUUCUAAAUAAAUGUGCUUCACUGAGCUUUGAAGUGCCUGGACCUGUUUCUUCUACCCUGGAUUAAACAGUUUGGGGUUUUGUGCUAGCCCCUGGCCUGGUUGCACCCAAUUUUUGCUCAAAUGAAAUGAGUGCAGUUCCUUUUGAAUGUUGUUUGUAUCCAAGUAAUACAACUUGACCAAACAAUAUAAUUUUAAUUUCCUUCUUUAUGUAAUUCAAAUUCUACUCUUAAGUAACAUGGUGAUGAUGAGUGGGCAGUAAAGAUUGAGCGGGUAGACAUGAGAAAAAUUAAGAGUGAAUUUGAAUGCUUUAAAUUGUAAGUGUGCUUCGUCAGGGUGCUCGAUAAUCUCUAGUUUCCUGUUAACAUUUGUAAUAAGUUUUAUCUUAUUGGCUGUAAUAGUCUUACAUAAUAAUUCGGGAUUAUUCUAGCUUUAGUGACUGAAUAAUCUAAAUUUUAUUAAAGACAGGAGGCAAAUAUUUGCUUUUACCUUCUUUACUGAACCUACCAGCAGCAAAGAAAUAGUUAAACAUUUAGAGAAAAAAUCAACCAAUCAGGACACAUAUUAGAACAUAACAGUCUGUCAGGCUCCUCCCAAAUCCUCUUUCUGAUGCAGCCGAUCAUAAGUGUAGUCAACCGUGUAAACUUGAGUAAUCCAUCAACCAUGUAAACCAGAACGCAGCCGAUACUAGAGACCAAUGUAACGUAGUCUUCGUGGCUCAUGCAGAGAAACUUCACACUAAAAGACAAAGAAAGAUCAGUCACUUGGACUGGGUGUCCGCAAGAUAUCUACAUACACAGAUCUACCCCCUGGAUAUUACGAGUAUAAACUAUUGCAAAAUCUAAAACAGUCAGAUAUAUAAAGUCUCACAAGAAACCUAGAAAGAGUAUAUGUUACCUGAAAAAAAAUCUGGGGUGGGAUACCAAAAGGGUGGGAAAAUAUUUGCCUCCUGUCUUUAAUAAAAUUUAGAUUAUUCAGUCACUAAAGCUAGAAUAAUCCUGAAUUUUAUGGCAAGACAGGAGGCUUCAUAUUUGCUGUUUUAAAGUGUGGAAAGAAAAGAGAAAAAAGCAUGGGACGAUUGUCGAAAAUAAAAGGUACGGAAAGUAGAUUCUCUAGACCAAUCAGCGCAUUUUAGGAUGUCUGCAAGGGAUCCCCCAGCCAUAAAGGCACCUCUGACAGAAUGAGCUCCAAAAGAGGAAUCUAUGCACGCUAAAUCGAGAAGCCAUUUAAUCCAGCGGGCAAUCGUGGGACAAGACACUGGCUUGUGUGGUUGCACAUAUGAGAUAAACAGGGGUACGUAGAAGUGAUGUAGAGGCGACGUAGUGUUGGACACAACGAGCAAUGCAGAGCGAUGGUCUGUCAGAAAAAUAAGGGUAAGUAAUCGUUAAGGAAUUAGUUUUAGUGCGGCGAGAAAUGUUGAAACGUAGUGUGAAAGUCAAAUGCCUGAAUAUCAGACACUCUUCUAAAAGAAACUAAGCAGAGAAGAAGAGCUAAUUUGGCUGACAGUUGUCAUAGAGAGUGUGCUUCGUUGGGUGGCCAAGUCUCCAGGAAGGACAAAACAAGAGCAACAUCCCAAAAAUGAGAAUAUUUUGGGACAGGAGGUCGAGCAAGACGAAUGCCACGCAACAGUCUACAGAUGGAGGGGUGUUUACCUAUUGCUGUAUUAUCAAUGGGGCCAUGAGCUGCCGAAAUUGCUGAACUAAACACAUUAAUGGAUCUGUAGGAUUUACCUUGAUCAAAAAGAGAGGACAGAAAGUUCAUAACGUUAAUCAAAGAAGAUGAAACGGGAUCAAUACCACUUUCCAAGCACCAGCGAUUCCAAACUCGCCAGGCUGAGAGCUAAGAGCGUCUAAUCACGGGGGCCCAUGAGUCCCAAAAGAGUUCUCUAGCAGUCUCUGAAAGUCCUGUGGCAUUCCAGGUUCCCCUGAAACAGUCCAGGCCACUAGCUGGAGAUGACCCUGCAACGCAAGAGGGUGAAAGUUGCCUGCGGGAUCUUUGAGAAGAUCGUGCGUGGCAGGUAGCAGUAGUGGAUAAUCCACCGACAUCUCCAAGAGAUUGGGGAACCAUGGUUGGGUACGCCACAAAGGGGUCAGCAGUGUUAUUGUAGUCCCCUGAGUCCUGAGAUGAUGGAGAGUGCGAAGGAUCAUGGAGAACGGAGGGAAGGCAUAAGCUCCGGUCAUUGGCCAAGAUUGAAGGAAGUCGUCUACUGCCAGAGAGGUCGGAUCCGACAACCAACUGAAAAAAGCAUCCGUCUGUCGAUUCAGACGAGACGCAAAUAGGUCGAGGUUGAAUGGACCCCGAAGAAGAUGUAGACGGUAAAAAACGUGUGGGUCCAAUUGUCGCUGGAGUCUCUCCAGUGUCGAGAGAACCAAUCUGCGACUAAGUUGUCGGAACCAGGUAGAUACUCUGCUCGAAGGGAGAUGUUUCUGUCUAGACAAAAUUGGUAUAAUUCUUUUUUGAGGUCUGAGAGCAUUUUGGAACGGGAUCCCCCUAGGCAAGUCACGUAUUGAACAGCUGAGAUGUUGUCCAUUCUCAGCACUAGGGAACAAUUGUAAGAGUCCUUUGCGAAACUGUGAAUCGCAAAGGAACAGGCAAUCAACUCGAGGUAAUUGAUGUGCAAUGCCCGUUCUGAUGGGGACCAAGGACCUCCGGUAGAGAGAUUUGCGCAUGAUGCACCACAGCCCAGAAAACUGGCGUCUGAUUCUAGGAUGUAAUCUGACUGCGAUCCGAAGAUCGUUCUCCCGUUCCAUGCAUCCAUAUGGUGUAGCCACCAAUUCAGUUCUAGUCGGACUUUGUCUGUCAAGGAGAUCUGUUGAUCGUAAGAUGCAGAGUGACGUAAAGAGCGAGUCUUCAGACAUUGCAUUGCUCCGUAAUGUAAAGGAGCUGGGAAGGUCGCCUGAAUCGAGGUGGAGAGUAGUCUGAUUAUGCGAGCUAAGUUGCGAAGACGGAUAGUCGAAGAGGCUAGAAUUUUUCUGAUGUCUUUUUUGAUGUUCUUGAUCUUUACUGAAGGAAGUUGUAGGAUAGCCAAAAUGGAAUCUAUUUGGAAUCGAAGGAAUUGAAGCAUCUGAGACGGGGUGAGGACGGAUUUUUGGACAUUGAUCACGAACCCCAAGUUUUUUAACAGAGCUGUGGUCAUGUCUGUAUGGAGGCGUAGAGUGCCUGGGUCCUGAGCCAUAAGGAGGAUAUCGUCCAGAUAUAUGAUGAAGCGAAUCCCCUGAGAGCGUAGCAAGGCCAUGACCGGUUUCAUCAGCUUGGUGAAACACCAAGGUGCGGAACAGAGUCCGAAGGGGAGGCAUGAGAACUGCCAUAAGUCUUGAUGCCAUCUGAACUGUAGGAAACAGUUAUAGGAACUGUGAGGUAAGCAUAACAGGUGUUAUAGGAACCAUGAGGUAAGCAUCUGUCAAAUCCAAACGGGAGAACCAGUCUCCCUCGCAGAGUAGGUCUCAAAGAAGGUGGAUACCCUCCAUUUUGAAAUGUUGGUAAACAAUAAAAUUGCUUAGGUCUUUCAGGUUGAUAACUGGUCAAAAGUCUCCUGACUGUUUUCAGACCAGAAAUAUGUUGCUUAUGAGUCUGUGAGGGGACAGAGAACGUUCUAUAGCGCCGUUGGUGACAAGGUCGUUUAGCGUGGCCUCCAAGGUCGCAUUGUCCUCUUGAGACAUGUACAGAGGUGGAGGGGGAGACUCCUGUAGAGGGUCAUUUGCAAAAUCUAUAUGGAAACCAGAUACAGUUUGAAAGAUCCAUGGAUCCUGAGUUAAUAGAGACCACUGUUGGAAAAAAAGGCCUGCAAUAGGAACUUGAGUUGAUUACCUGAAGCAGUGCGGCCCUGGAGGGAAGCAUAUCCACGUCCUCUGGUGGAACGUCUAGAGGGAAAGAACUGCUUGUGGUAGAAACGGGUAUUGCCUGAAUUCCAUGAGUCUGCUGGUUGAGGCCUGUAUGCUGUUUGUGCCCAUUAACGCACCAUGUGUGCAUCAAAAUUGCCACCUGCUAGCGCCUCGCCAGCGAUUAUAAAAAUCUGGAUAAGCGAGCUUGCUAUAUCCAUCAGCUUGUCUUGGGUGGCUUUUUUUUUUUUUUAAUUCAAGGUUUUUAUUGUUUUCAAGUUAUAACAAAAAGAAAGGGGGGGUUAUUGGGGUACAGAAAGGAAGAAAGGUGGGGGGUGGGGUGGGAGGGUGACAGGGUCUUAGGACCAGUCAUAGUUACAUAUAGUUACAUAGUUACAUAGCUGAAAAGAGACUUGCGUCCAUCAAGUUCAGCCUUCCUCAGAAAUGUUGUUGCUGUUGAUCCAAAAGAAGGCAAAAAACCUGGUCUGAAGCACUUCCAAUUUUGCCACAAACUAGGAAAAAAAUUCCUUCUUGACCCCAAAAUAGCAGUCAGAUGUCUCCUUGGAUCAAUCAGCUAUUACCCCACUAAUUAGAAAUUAUAUCCCUGUAUGUUAUGUUUUUGUAAGUAUUUAUCCAAUUUCAGUUUAAACAUCUGUAUGGACUCUGACAAAACCACCUCUUCAGGCAGAGAAUUCCAUAUCCUUAUUGUUCUUACUGUAAAAAAACCUUUUCUUUGCCUUAGAUGAAAUCUCCUUUCUUCCAGCCUAAAUGUGUGACCUCGUGUCCUAUGUAUAACCCUGUUUAUGAAUAGAUUUCCAGAUAAAGGUUUGUACUGGCCCCGAAUAUAUUUGUAUAAAGUUAUCAUAUCCCCUCUCAGGCGCCGUUUUUCCAAACUAAACAGAUUUAAUUUUUGUAACCUUUCUUCAUAACUAAAAUGCUCCAUUCCUUUUAUCAAUUUUGUAGCUCGUCUCUGGACCCUCUCCAGUGCCAUGAUAUCCUUCUUUAGAACAGGCGCCCAAAAUUGCACAGCAUAUUCAAGGUGUGGUCUUACCAGCGAUUUAUACAGAGGCAAAAUUAUAUUUUCAUCCCGAGAAUUUAUGCCCCUAUUUAUACAUGACAAAAUCUUACUGGCCUUAGCAACUGCAGAUUGACAUUGCAUAUUGCUGCCUAAUUUGUUGUCUAUAACAAUGCCCAAAUCCUUCUCGUGUGUGGUUAUCCCCUAAUUCACUACCAUUUAGUGUGUAAGUUGCUUGUGCAUUCUUAACCCCGAAGUGCAUAACUUUGCAUUUCUCUAUGUUAAAUUUAAUCUGCCAUUUUAGUGCCCAGUACCCCAAUCUAUCCAAAUCUCUCUGCAACAAAGCAAUAUCCUGCUCACAUUUAUUACUUUACAAAGUUUUGUGUCAUCUGCAAACACUGAUACAUGGCUUUCAAUGCCUAUUUCAAGAUCAUUUAUAAAUAUGUUAAAUAGAAGUGGUCCCAAAACAGAACCCUGAGGGACACCACUUGCCACUUUUGUCCAGCCUGAAAAUUUACCAUUAAUGACAACUCGUUGUACUCUGUCCUUAAGCCAAUGUUCUACCCAAGAACAGGAAUAUUCAUCAAGACCAAUUUCUUUUAGUUUGAAAACUAACCUAUUGUGAGGAACCGUAUCAAAUGCCUUGGCAAAGUCCAAGUAGAUCACAUCCACUGCAACACCCUGAUCUAUACUUCUACUUACUUCUUCGUAGAAUGCAGUCGUCCACGUUCUCAUCGUUAUGACAGUACAUUAUUUUUGUCAUGGAAUUACUUGACCAUCGUAUUAUACAUUACAAGCAAAAGACAGAACGAGGUUGUGUUUACAGUUGACAGUUUACAGCGUUUGCCUUAAUUUUUACAUAUCAUUCGGGGUAGGGUACAGUAAGGGAGAGCUUGGGUGUCUUGGGUGGCUUUUAAGCCAACUUUGAUUCCUUUGCGGGGAUCUUUACCCGUCUUAGUUAGAAAAGUGACCAGGAGUGGGUCAAGUUCAGGGGUGACAGCCACCUUAUCAGGGAUUAUAGGCCGUGGACAUUCUGCUUUUAAUUUGGCUCUAAUCUCCUUUUCUAAAGGUUUACAAAGCCAUAAUCUGCAAUAUUUGCCAAUGUGAUCAGGGGGUGUCCAUUCUGCUGAAACGAGGGUGUCUGAUGCAGCGUGGGUCAAAUAGAGAACAACCAUUGGUAUCCAGUAGGAUAUCGUCCUUAGUACUGUCUAAAUUAGUAGUGGACAUAGGAUCACUACUGGUUGUGGGGUAGGAGAAAAGUCUCCGUAACAAAUUCAGAAGAGGAAAGGUCACCUGGGAGAUCCUCAUCUAGAUAUGCAUUGUAUUCGUCUAUCACUCAAAAGUGAUAGCCAGAGGUUGAACCCUUUAAGGGGUCAGAUUCUGAAGUCAAAGUGAGUUGGCAUGAGACAAUUUAGCUGUCUUUGCUGGGGCUUUGCCUUUGCCAGCAGAAGCACUGUUACCCUUCCAAGGGCGCUUACGUGGGGCUUCGUCAUGGUCAGAGACCCUGGAAUCAUGCGAGUCUGACAAUUGCGUGAUGGUGGCAGUAGUGGCUGUCUGGUCACGAAACGUUGCCAAGGCUUUGGGGAUAGAGUCUGCAAUUGCAGCUUGAAGCCAGGCUUUUAAUUCUGCUGACAGUGCAGGUUCUGGUUGGUCCGACAUGAUGACCAGUAAAAUCGUAGUGGGUUCACCACAGAAUCAGUAUACCAACUUUUUUAUUUAUUAUUUAUUUAUUUAUUAUUUAUUAUUUAUUAUUAUAAUUUAUAUAUAUAUAUAUAUAUAUAUAUAUAUAUAUAUAAAUAUAAACAAACUUGUCACAAACAAAGUAAAAGCAGGGGCUGACUUAUUGGGGUUCACCCAGACAAUAUGCAGUCACCUUUACGGGGACUCAGUGGGGUUCAUCCACAAUUAUGGCAGUUAAACUGUCAAUAUAAUAAUGACAGGGUUAACCUGUGCAAUCAAUAAAAAUAUAUAUAAGGGGUUCACCCUGAGAGAUAAGGCACGAGGGGGUCACCCUCAAUAAAGAGGCACAAGGGGAUUACCCUCAAUAAAAGAGGCAAGAGGGGGUCAACAACAAGCAGGGGGCAAUGAAUACUCAUAGUUUAACAGAGCUGCAAUCCAGUAACAGAGAGCAGUUCCUGAAAAGCGCGCGAACGGGAAAUUUAACCGCCGAACAGAAGAUGGUCGCCGGCAAGAAGGAGGAAGGCGGGAAAACUGCGUGUCAAUCAAUGACACGAAAAAAACGGACGGUACAGAAAUAGAUCGCGGGCAUGAUCAAAACGGACCGCAGCCACUGCAGUGGCACGGUCUGAAGAUAAUUUCAUCAAGGAAAAAGAUUAGUAAGGUUUUACUUUAGUCAGAGAUAAAUAAAGUCACAGGGAAGGAACUGGACAGUGGGCUGACCUGAGAAGGGUCGUUGUGAUAAAGGGCAGAGAUAAAAUAAACACACACAUUACCUUAUGUGAGUAAAACUGACAGGGAAAGUUAAUUAAAGGAGUCAAAAAAAUCUAUGGAAAAACAAAAUAAGGCUCACCUGGGAGGCAAGCAGCAAAGAAAGAGGAAGUGGGAGGAGCCUGACAGACUGUUAUGUUCUAAGAUGUGUCCUGAUUGGUUGAUUUUUUCUCUAUAUGUUUAACUAUUUCUUUGCUGCUGGGAGGUUCAGUAAAGAAGGUUAAAGCAAAUAUGAAGCCUCCUGUCUUGCCAUAAAAUUAAAGUGAGAUGCUUCAAAAGAAAGAGGCAUAGCAGAUGGAAUACAAGUUGCUGAGUGGGAGACAGGACACUGGAAGAGGAGUUGGGAUAAGAGACAUUUGGCAUGAUAAAAUAAUAGCGGAAAGAAGUUGGAAUGGGAAAAUGUAACAAAGAAAUGGGAACUGAAGUUAGAGCAUUUCAGAAAAAGAGGGGACUUAUUGAAUAUAGAGGUAAAAAAACAGGAAUACAAGCUGGGAUCAGAGAAGUUUAGGAAUUUGCAGUAGACGUUUGAUAGAUGGUAAGGGCUACCAUAGAAGAAUAAAAGCUGGAGUGAUAAAUUAGACUGGGUGGCGGUAAUAAAUAUUUACCAAAUUGCUCUGCUGUGUGUAGAUAUUCCAAUCAAUAUGAAAAAUGUAAAAUUUAAUUAAGGAUGGCUUCACACUUUUGAAGUCAACUUCGCAAGAUAUAAAAUUGCAGUAUAAUUACAAGAAAACAAAUAAGUGCAUACAGCAAUAACAUUUAUAUAGCAAGUUGUUGUGAAGAUAUACAUUGCUUGAACUGUACUUUUUUAUUUUAUAUAUUCUUAUAUUCUCUUUUUAUACUGUCUUAUAUAUGCUAAAUUAAGCUGUUGCACCAAACUAUUUGUAUAGCAAAGAAACUUAGCAGAUCUAGAGCUAGAUUAUUUAGUUUUUUUUUGUUUUUUUUUGAUCAUUUUAAUUAAAAUUUUCUUUUUCAUGGUUUCAGGAACGGUCAUUGAAAUUCUUAGUAAAAAAAUUACACCACCGCAGAUUAUACCGAAAUCCACCAUAGCUUCAACAACUACACUGAUGCCCAGAACCUCUAAACCCUCCAAGCAACAACCCAAGACAUUACCAAAAUCUUCUAAAACUAAAUCUUCAUUACUGAAAACUGCUACAAAGAAACCCACGACUACUAAAAAACCUAAGCCACCAUCUAAGAUAUUGAAAUCGUCUACAAAGAAACCGAGGACUAGUAAGAAACCCAAGCUGCCACCUAAGAUACU
rnacentral:lncRNA from 1 species